rnacentral:tRNA from 1 species
ACCUGGGUUGCUAAGUCAGUUAAGCGCCAGACUUCAGCUCAGGUCAUGAUCUCACAGUUCGUGGGUUCAAGCCCCACAUCAGGCU